rnacentral:lncRNA from 10 species
UUUUUUUAAAAAAAGAAAAAAGAGGUGGAUGCUUUACAACUACAACCAAAGAGAGAAAAAUUGCAUAUGAGUUUAUAUUAGGAAAAGAGCUGUCUUUUAAAAAAUACCUUAAAAACAGUUUUGGUGAAACAGAGGAAAUGAAAGUUGAGUCACUGAAAGAAGAGAAGCAAAACAAUAGUUAAAUUGACUGAUUUCCAUUAGAAAUUAACUAAAAUUUGGAGGUGAACUAGAAUGGAAAAUAAAGGGAAGAAAGAAAGAAAUGUUGGAGAAGGACUGGACAGCACAACUUGAAGAACUGAAAGACCUCCAUGUACAGAGAUGUCUGGUGCUCAAUUUGACCUUGUUUUCUCUUAUCUCGUAAACUCCCUUUCACCCAAGUCAUGAACAAUAUUUUCUACAGACAGAAAUGCCUUGGGAGCAAAGUUUUGGGGAAAUGAAGGAAAGACUCAGAAAAGAACAGCAGCAAGAGCUUUUAGGAAAUAUAGGAGGUUGAAAUUAGCCUAAUCAGUUUUUGGCAAUAAUAAUCAUGAUGAUGAUGGAUAUAAAGGAUAAGAAUGAGAAGAAGUGAGAGAAAGGAGGAGAGAGAAUAGAGAAGAAAGAAGAGAAAGAAGAAGAGGAGGAUAAUGGAGGCAAAGAUGGAGAGGAAGAAAACCAAGGUGUC